GUUCAAGGCCAUUCUUUGGGGCUAUACGUGAGGUCUCUGGAACCAAAGGGAGCAUGCAACUCUUCUUAAAAUUGAAGGUGUUUAUGCUCAAGAUUAAACUGAAUUCUAUUUAGGCAAGGUAUGUGCUUGUGUGUACAAAGCAAAGACCAACACUUCUGGUGGCAAACCGAACAAAACUAGAGUAAUCUGGGGAAAAGUAACUUGUGCUCAUGGAAACGGUGGCAUGGUUUCUACCAAAUUCCAAAGCAACCUUUCCACUAAAGCCAUUGACCACAGAAUCUGUGUGAUACUGUACACCUCAGGAUUUGAAAUUACUGAAAAGUAAAUAAGUAAAGGUAUAGAUUUGUU